rnacentral:tRNA from 1 species
GUGGAUGUAGCUCAGUUGGUAGAGUGCUUGCCUUGCAUGCACAAGGCCUUGGGUUCAAUCCCCAGCACCAAAA